ensembl:lncRNA
AUCUAACCCUAUAAUAAAACACAUUUACACCUUUCAUGGUUGUAUAAAACAUUAUAUAAUAAAAAUGUAUAAUAUUGAUCUAUCAUAUUGCAGGAGUAGCAGAGGUCAGUGGCAAAGAGAGUCUUAAUACAAUGAGGAAAAUUAUUGAGGACCAUGUACAUGAGUCAAAGGCCACUAUGUUUGACUUGGCCAAGAAGAAGAUGUUGACCAAACUGAGAAAGCUGAUGGUUUGUUUAUUACACAAAUUGUGGAGUUAUUGUGAAGUAGUGUCAUGAGAAAAAUACACAAAGUAAUAUUUGUCCAUGUGAGUAAUGAGUAAUGGAGGUUUUUUGAUGCUGAAAUAGAGGGACAUCUUGAAAACACUGACGUACACUAUGCAGAGAUCCAUAGAGCUGUCACUGAAGAUGAAUGACAACUCAAUCCCAGAUGUUUCAGCUGAACAUUCUAAAGUGGAGAGUUACUACAAAGAGCUGAAAGGCCCAGAUGAAGAGACUUCCUUACUCUGGCCUGACAUGUUGGAUGACUCAUUGGAUUCACCUGGUCCAGCUGCAGCAGCAGAGACGUCAGACUUCAGAUUUCAUUGAAACUCAUCAUGUCCUCACCAUGUCUGACUGUUUUAGGGAAAACAAACAAGACAAUCUGAUUAGCUGCAGGUUUUGCUGCCAUACCUAGGCUGUGGAGUUGCUAUCAAUCACUCUUAUUAACAUAUGUUGUAUUAUGGCAUUAUUUUAAUGUUUACUUUUUUUGUUAGAAUGGGUUUGUGUGGGAGUUUCAAUAGCAUGCAGAAACUUCCUGUUUUGUAGAAUUGUGCUUAGUGAGAUGUUUUUCUUUGUAUAAACACAGCCUGGGCAAAAAAACAACAACAAAAAAACCUGGAUUUAACUAAACAAGUAGUUCAGAACCAUCCAAAUACAUACAUUUUUUGAAACUAUAUAAUGGGAAAUACUAUAGGUUUAGGGUUAGCGUUAGGGUUAAGGACUUUUACGUAUUCAUGUAAUAAUGACAAAGGGAUGUUUCCUUCCUGCAGACUUUCCUGUAGUUUGCAUACAUUUUAACUCAUAUAAACUCUGCAGUUUGAUGUAGACAUUAAAAAUAACCUAUAAAAACUUAUCUGUGGUUUGUUCUUUUCCAAUAAGCAGACCCUGACAAAGAUAGAACCAUCAUUCACUUACAAGUCUAAAUACUUCCUUUUUCACAGCAUUUGCUUUUACAAAUUUGACAGUUUUUAUCAUUUGAAUAUGUUUUCAUGACUUUGUCCUGCUCAGUGUCUGUUGGUGGCUCUUGAAUUUCCCUGAACUGUUUGAACAUUGAACACAUGAAAUCGCUUAGAGUCAAAACAUCCUGAUGGUUUUGACCCCUCUGUCAUCAGUCAUAGGGGCAGAGUUGUACCCUGUCUGUCAACAUGAUAGCUCACCAAAUCAUCUGAUCUCCUUCAUGUUUGAAUUUUACUUAUGACUUGUGAAGCUCUUUGAUAAGUUCUUUGGGCGUUGACCUUGACCUUCAUUUUCAAGGUGAAAUUGGAGUUGACACAUCAAAUUCGGGCCACAAUGUUGAUCUACAUUUUUCAGGUCUUUUGGGGUCAGUGCAGGGUCAUGAGGGCAGAUAGGAGAAAGCAGAACAGAUGAGGAGAGGAGACAGUGAUACUGGUAGGGGAGCAGUGAGCACCAGGAGUAUAGGUGCAGGACAGCCCUCAUUGUCAAAAGGGGUGGACGAGGGUCAGUACAAUGGUCAAAGUGAGCAUUAAAAGUAUGUUUUAAUGGAAUUAUCUACAAUGUGUAAAAACAAAAACAUUGCUAACUGCAAAAUGGUGGCUUCAAUAUGCAUUUACAGUGAUCCCUUGCCAAUUCACGCUUUAAGUUCCGCGGUUUUAGUUAUUCACAGAUUUUUCAGAAAUAUUCAUC